rnacentral:rRNA from 1 species
UUGAACGCUGGCGGCAGGCCUAACACAUGCAAGUCGAGCGGUAGCACAGAGAGCUUGCUCUCGGGUGACGAGCGGCGGACGGGUGAGUAAUGUCUGGGAAACUGCCUGAUGGAGGGGAUAACUACUGGAAACGGUAGCUAAUACCGCAUAACGUCGCAAGACCAAAGUGGGGGACCUUCGGGCCUCAUGCCAUCAGAUGUGCCCAGAUGGGAUUAGCUAGUAGGUGGGGUAACGGCUCACCUAGGCGACGAUCCCUAGCUGGUCUGAGAGGAUGACCAGCCACACUGGAACUGAGACACGGUCCAGACUCCUACGGGAGGCAGCAGUGGGGAAUAUUGCACAAUGGGCGCAAGCCUGAUGCAGCCAUGCCGCGUGUGUGAAGAAGGCCUUCGGGUUGUAAAGCACUUUCAGCGGGGAGGAAGGCGAUAAGGUUAAUAACCUUGUCGAUUGACGUUACCCGCAGAAGAAGCACCGGCUAACUCCGUGCCAGCAGCCGCGGUAAUACGGAGGGUGCAAGCGUUAAUCGGAAUUACUGGGCGUAAAGCGCACGCAGGCGGUCUGUCAAGUCGGAUGUGAAAUCCCCGGGCUCAACCUGGGAACUGCAUUCGAAACUGGCAGGCUAGAGUCUUGUAGAGGGGGGUAGAAUUCCAGGUGUAGCGGUGAAAUGCGUAGAGAUCUGGAGGAAUACCGGUGGCGAAGGCGGCCCCCUGGACAAAGACUGACGCUCAGGUGCGAAAGCGUGGGGAGCAAACAGGAUUAGAUACCCUGGUAGUCCACGCCGUAAACGAUGUCGAUUUGGAGGUUGUGCCCUUGAGGCGUGGCUUCCGGAGCUAACGCGUUAAAUCGACCGCCUGGGGAGUACGGCCGCAAGGUUAAAACUCAAAUGAAUUGACGGGGGCCCGCACAAGCGGUGGAGCAUGUGGUUUAAUUCGAUGCAACGCGAAGAACCUUACCUGGUCUUGACAUCCACAGAACUUUCCAGAGAUGGAUUGGUGCCUUCGGGAACUGUGAGACAGGUGCUGCAUGGCUGUCGUCAGCUCGUGUUGUGAAAUGUUGGGUUAAGUCCCGCAACGAGCGCAACCCUUAUCCUUUGUUGCCAGCGGUUAGGCCGGGAACUCAAAGGAGACUGCCAGUGAUAAACUGGAGGAAGGUGGGGAUGACGUCAAGUCAUCAUGGCCCUUACGACCAGGGCUACACACGUGCUACAAUGGCAUAUACAAAGAGAAGCGACCUCGCGAGAGCAAGCGGACCUCAUAAAGUAUGUCGUAGUCCGGAUUGGAGUCUGCAACUCGACUCCAUGAAGUCGGAAUCGCUAGUAAUCGUAGAUCAGAAUGCUACGGUGAAUACGUUCCCGGGCCUUGUACACACCGCCCGUCACACCAUGGGAGUGGGUUGCAAAAGAAGUAGGUAGCUUAACCUUCGGGAGGGCGCUUACCACUUUGUGAUUCAUGACUGGGGUG